AGUGAACGCUGGCGGUAGGCCUAACACAUGCAAGUCGAACGGAAGAAGCGUUCGAGCUUCCGCUUUCUGAUGCCGACUGGUGAACUGGUGAGUAAAAUAUUGCAGUCUAGGUGUUCGUGCGUCCUGACGUGGGCGCGAUUACCCUACUACCUCAUACGACCUACGGGUGAGAGCAGGGGACCUCCCGCCCUUGCGCGAUUUGAGGACGCGAUGCCGGGUUGGUUGGGUGGUGGGGUAAAGGCCCACCAAGGCGACGAUCCGUAGCUGGUCUGAGAGGAUGAUCAGCCACACUGGAACUGAGACACGGUCCAGACUCCUACGGGAGGCAGCAGUGGGGAAUAUUCGACAAUGGGCGGAAGCCUGAUCCAGCCAUACCGCGUGGGUGAAGAAGGUCUUCGGGUUGUAAAGCCCUUUUGCUGGGGAAGAAAGGCAGGAGGUUAAUACCGAGCUGUUCUGACGGUACCUAAAGAAUAAGCACCGGCUAACUUCGUG
rnacentral:rRNA from 1 species